UCUUCUCCUAUCGCUCUUCUCCUAUCGGUAGUGUGCCGCCGCCUCCUCUUCUCCUAUUGUCCCUGGUGCCAUCUCCUAUCAUCCCUAGCACUGCCCUGCUCCGGAGCCUUGGAGCCCAAAUUGGUGAACCUCUCCACCCACGACAGCUGCUGCCCCUCUCCAUCGUCGCUGAGUGCUCGUGCUUGUUGACCAUUUUCUUGGUCAGGCCCUUCCAAGAUUCACAAAGAAAUUCCUCAUGCCUCCUUGAUCCCUGCUAUUCAGGUUUGAUAAAUCCUAGUGGCGAGCGUGUGACGCCGGAUUCUCGACAAGGUCAAGACAAGUGCAAUGACGAACUUCUUGAUAUGUGAAAUGUUGUGGCUUUCUUGCUGCCCUUGAGUGAUGUUUAUUCAAUGACUUUAUCCCAUAUAUCAAUUCCUUUAAGCUUCUUGUUAUAGUUUUUUGAUUCUAUCAUAAGUUCAAGAUCUGUGUGUUGGCUUUCAUAUCACUCAAGUGCCGGGGGUUUGUAUAAACACCGGUUGUGCAAUUCGGUUCUUAUGUUCAGGUUUCUGUGAAUAAGUGUUGGUCCCACUUAUUCAGCUUUACCGGUAAAUACUAAGGAAUUUUCAGGUGACGUCCGUUUCAGACAGAAACUACUAUUUCAUUGUUGUUCAUUGAUUAUGGAUUUCCGUUGUUCAUGUACCUGCAGUCGUUUUUCUGGUUCCGAAUUGUGCUUGCUGAGUAUUUUUACUCACUCUUGUGUUUAUUUGGCUUUUAGGUACUCGCUGACCAGGUUGCAUGGGAUAAGAGUAGCCACUUCAUGAUGAGCAUGCACACACAUUGCCAUCCAUUGAAAUAAAUGUCUAGACUCGAUAUUUCUUUUGACAUUGAGAUCUGUCAUGUGGUCGUUUGGAUGUCGCCUAAGUUUGUUCGGUCAUGUUGGUCGAUGUGGAGUUCUUAAUACUGUAAUUUUUUUAUGGGCCAUUUGCAAAACUGCCAUUGUUUUUAGAUCCAAUUGCACGUUUGCCCUUGAUUUUUUAACUUUGCACGUUUGCCCCUGUUUUUAGUCUUCCAGUUGCAAGACUGAUCCUAUUUUAUUACAAAA